rnacentral:rRNA from 1 species
CCUACGGGUGGCAGCAGUGGGGGAUAUUGGACAAUGGGGGGAACCCUGAUCCAGCGACGCCGCGUGAGUGAAGAAGUAUCUCGGUAUGUAAAGCUCUAUCAGCAGGGAAGAAGAAAUGACGGUACCUGAGUAAGAAGCCCCGGCUAACUACGUGCCAGCAGCCGCGGGAAUACGUAGGGGGCAAGCGGUAUCCGGAAUUACUGGGUGUAAAGGGAGCGUAGACGGUGAUGUAAGUCUGGAGUGAAAGGCGGGGGCCCAACCCCCGGACUGCACUUGAAACUGUGUGGCUGGAGUGCAGGAGAGGUGAGCAGAAUUCCUAGUGUAGCGGUGAAAUGCGUAGAUAUUAGGAGGAACACCAGUGGCGAAGGCGGCUUACUGGACUGUAACUGACGUUGAGGCUCGAAAGCGUGGGGAGCAAACAGGAUUAGAUACCCGUGUAGUC